rnacentral:rRNA from 1 species
CGACAAGCGGUGGAGUAUGUGGUUAAUUCGAUGCAACGCGAAGAACCUUACCUGGUCUUGACAUCCCGGAGACCCUUAGGAAACUAGGGGUGCUUCCAUCUGGAAGAAUCUGGAGACAGGUGCUGCAUGGCUGUCGUCAGCUCGUGUCGUGAGAUGUUGGGUUAAGUCCCGCAACGAGCGCAACCCUUGCCUUUAGUUGCCAGCAGUUCGGCUGGGCACUCUAAAGGGACUGCCGGUGUUAAACCGGAGGAAGGUGGGGAUGACGUCAAGUCCUCAUGGCCUUUAUGACCAGGGCUACACACGUACUACAAUGGCCGAUACAAAGGGCAGCGACACUGCGAGGUGAAGCCAAUCCCGUAAAAUCGGUCUCAGUCCGGAUUGGAGUCUGCAACUCGACUCCAUGAAGUUGGAAUCGCUAGUAAUCGUGGAUCAGCAUGCCACGGUGAAUACGUUCCCGGGCCUU